rnacentral:rRNA from 1 species
GAUGAACGCUGGCGGCGUGCCUAAUACAUGCAAGUCGAGCGAACAGAUGAGGAGCUUGCUCCUCUGACGUUAGCGGCGGACGGGUGAGUAACACGUGGAUAACCUACCUAUAAGACUGGGAUAACUUCGGGAAACCGGAGCUAAUACCGGAUAAUAUAUUGAACCGCAUGGUUCAAUAGUGAAAGACGGUUUUGCUGUCACUUAUAGAUGGAUCCGCGCCGCAUUAGCUAGUUGGUAAGGUAACGGCUUACCAAGGCAGCGAUGCGUAGCCGACCUGAGAGGGUGAUCGGCCACACUGGAACUGAGACACGGUCCAGACGCCUACGGGAGGCAGCAGUAGGGAAUCUUCCGCAAUGGGCGAAAGCCUGACGGAGCAACGCCGCGUGAGUGAUGAAGGUCUUCGGAUCGUAAAACUCUGUUAUUAGGGAAGAACAAAUGUGUAAGUAACUAUGCACGUCUUGACGGUACCUAAUCAGAAAGCCACGGCUAACUACGUG